rnacentral:rRNA from 1 species
GAUGUAGCCAACACUGUAUUAUAUAUAUAUAUAUUAUAUAUAUAUAUAUAUAUAUAUAUAUAUUUAUUAUUUUUUUUUAAUUGGGGUAGCCCCCAAUAUAUUGGGACAUAUAAAAAAAAGACAACUCUGUUCCGCAGAGUAGCUGUUGACAUUAUAGUUGCCCAGGCACUUUGUUGACUCUAGAGAACCUUGGGCCAAUCGCACAUCCCCGUGUCGGCGACUUUGCAUGAGGAUGUCAUCCAUAUCAACUUUCGAUGCCAGUUUUAGCACCUACCAUGGUGACCACAGGUAACGGGAAUCAGGGUUCCAUUCCGUACAGGGACCCUGAGAAACGGCUACCACAUGCAAGGAAGGCAGCAGGCGCGCAAAUGACUCACUCCCGACGCUGGAAGGUAG